GCGAGGGAGCUGUGUGUGAGAGUUCUAGUGACUAGAUGGAUAAAGGCUUAACAGAACAUCGUUGGUUGGGAAGACUGAUAACACGGGUAUUGCCAGUUCGACCACAGGUGACAAAAGUAUCAUGUUAACAGGGGACAUGGCUGUCGUACUGGACAUGAUGGGCAGAUUCAAGCAGGAAAUCUUAUAUAUUUCGUACUCAAGGCCGAGUAGGAGUUAGCUUUGUGCUGUGAAGAUUCGCAACACUAAAUGGCUUGGUGGACCAGUGUGCGAAAUACGCAUUGUGUCGGAAAGCGCACAUCGCCAAAUCAUCAUCAUCGAAAACACGAGAUCAAACCCCCGUUGGGGUUCAGCGAGGCUAUUUAACUUCUUCGCGUCGGAAUACACAUAUUUAUUAUUAGCCCAAACAUUAGGACUUUUAAACAUUUUUCAUUGUCAGUUUUGUAUCGUGUAUAAAAAGGAGAAAACUUGACUGAGGUCGGAGUUGUGUCAGUUGCCUUAAACUGGAAUUCAUCAAUAUGAACUCACUCACUGCUGUUGUUUAUUUUCUCGGACUUCCAAGUGAUGGUUGCGUGACACGCACGUGAAUAACGGACAUUUGUGAACGCUUUCCUCCACCCAGCCGCACGAGGUUUACAUGCAGCAUGCAUGUCACUUGUGACGUUUUUUUCACAGCCGUGCCGGAAUCAGAGAAACAAAUGUGGAGAUAAAAUGUGUGCGUAUCGGAAAUAUACGUCAGCUAAUUGUAA